rnacentral:rRNA from 1 species
UGGGGAAUUUUGGACAAUGGGCGCAAGCCUGAUCCAGCAAUGCCGCGUGCAGGAAGAAGGCCUUCGGGUUGUAAACUGCUUUUGUCAGGGAAGAAAUCUUCUGGGCUAAUACCCCGGGAGGAUGACGGUACCUGAAGAAUAAGCACCGGCUAACUACGUGCCAGCAGCCGCGGUAAUACGUAGGGUGCGAGCGUUAAUCGGAAUUACUGGGCGUAAAGCGUGCGCAGGCGGUUAUGUAAGACAGAUGUGAAAUCCCCGGGCUCAACCUGGGAACUGCAUUUGUGACUGCAUGACUGGAGUGCGGCAGAGGGGGAUGGAAUUCCGCGUGUAGCAGUGAAAUGCGUAGAUAUGCGGAGGAACACCGAUGGCGAAGGCAAUCCCCUGGGCCUGCACUGACGCUCAUGCACGAAAGCGUGGGGAGCAAACAGG